GGUCGCCCGGGACGGCGGUGAGCGGUCCGAUCGCGUCGGCGGUGGUCUCCACCGUGCAGCCGGGUUCCGGUUCCAGGGCGACCC
rnacentral:tRNA from 1 species